CCAAUAGCGUAUAUUAAAGUUGUUGCAGUUAAAAAGCUCGUAGUCGAAUUUUGGAUCUGACCAAAUGGUCCGCCUUUGGUGAGUACUUUUUGUGUCGGGUCUAUCCUUCUGGUGAGCUGGUAUGCCCUUUACUGGGUGUGUCAGGGAACCAGGACCAUUACCUUGAAAAAAUUAGAGUGUUUAAAGCGGGCAUUAGCUUGAAUAGAUUAGCAUGGAAUAAUAGAAUAGGACGUUGUGGUUCUAUUUUGUUGGUUCUAGGACCACCGUAAUGAUUAAUAGGGAUAGUUGGGGGCAUUAGUAUUCAAUUGUCAGAGGUGAAAUUCUUGGAUUUAUUGAAGACUAACUACUGCGAAAGCAUUUGCCAAGGAUGUUUUCAUUAAUCAAGAACGAAAGUUAGGGGAUCGAAGACGAUCAGAUACCGUCGUAGUCUUAACCAUAAACUAUGCCGACUAGGAAUCGGGCGAAGUUAUUUUAAUGACUCGCUCGGCGCCUUAUG
rnacentral:rRNA from 1 species